rnacentral:rRNA from 1 species
GAUGAACGCUGGCGGCGUGCUUAACACAUGCAAGUCGAACGAUUAAAGCCCCUUCGGGGGUGUAUAGAGUGGCGAACGGGUGAGUAACACGUGGGCAACCUGCCCUGCGCUUCGGGAUAACUCAGGGAAACUUGAGCUAAUACCGGAUACUCCUUGGGGAUCGCAUGGUCCCCUCGGGAAAGUUCCGGCGGCGCAGGAUGGGCCCGCGGCCCAUUAGCUAGUUGGUGAGGUAAUGGCUCACCAAGGCAACGAUGGGUAGCCGAGCUGAGAGGCUGAUCGGCCACACUGGGACUGAGACACGGCCCAGACUCCUACGGGUGGCUG